rnacentral:rRNA from 1 species
AUUGAACGCUGGCGGCAUGCCUUACACAUGCAAGUCGAACGGCAGCGGACCUUCGGGUGCCGGCGAGUGGCGAACGGGUGAGUAAUGCAUCGGAACGUGCCAUUGAGUGGGGGAUAACGUAGCGAAAGUUACGCUAAUACCGCAUAUUCUGUGAGCAGGAAAGCAGGGGACCGCAAGGCCUUGCGCUCUUUGAGCGGCCGAUGUCAGAUUAGCUAGUUGGUGAGGUAAAGGCUUACCAAGGCGACGAUCUGUAGCGGGUCUGAGAGGAUGAUCCGCCACACUGGAACUGAGACACGGUCCAGACUCCUACGGGAGGCAGCAGUGGGGAAUUUUGGACAAUGGGCGCAAGCCUGAUCCAGCCAUGCCGCGUGAGUGAAGAAGGCCUCGGUUG